CCAGACUCCUACGGGAGGCAGCAGCUAAGAAUAUUCCGCAAUGGACGGAAGUCUGACGGAGCGACGCCGCGUGGAUGAAGAAGGCUGAAAAGUUGUAAAAUCCUUUUGUUGAUGAAGAAUAAGGGGAAGAGGGAAUGCUUCUCUGAUGACGGUAAUCAGCGAAUAAGCCCCAGCUAAUUACGUGCCAGCAGCCGCGGUAACACGUAAGGGGCGAGCGUUGUUCGGAAUUAUUGGGCGUAAAGGGCAUGUAGGCGGUUGUGUAAGCCUGAUGUGAAAUCCUGGGGCUUAACCCCAGAAUAGCAUUGGGUACUGCAUAACUUGAAUUACGGAAGGGAAACUGGAAUUCCAAGUGUAGGGGUGGAAUCUGUAGAUAUUUGGAAGAACACCGGUGGCGAAGGCGGGUUUCUGGUCGAUAAUUGACGCUGAGAUGCGAAAGUGUGGGGAUC
rnacentral:rRNA from 1 species